UUCCCCUGAGGCAGCCCACUGUUGUGCUUGUCAUAUCACUUGGGUGCCUGUAGACAUCUGUAUGCUUCUCCAGCUGCGUGGGAGACACACUUCACCUUGUGGCUCCUCCUUUCAAAGGUUGCAUGUGCUGUAUGGAGGAACAGUUGACUUUGCUGAUAGAGAACGUCUCAUUGCACCCCCUUUCCACACCAUCUGUCUGACCUGGACCCAUUCCAAACACUACGGCUUUGCUGGCAGAAUGGUCUUCCUGCUACAGAAGUUUUGUAAUCUGCUAAUUGACAGGGUGGGCUGAGGACAGAAAAAUCCUAAAGAUGGAAGUAUCAUUAAAAUCGUGCUGAUCCAGUUGAGGUUUGUGGUUGCCCUCAUCUUGCAAUUGUGCUUUAAAACUCAGUGUGAGCAACCCCCACUGAAGUGAGUACAGUUAUGCUUACUGAUCCAGACCUGAGUCCUUCAAAUGGGGUCCUCUGUGUGCAAAAGCUACAUGCACACGCUUCAGGUGGUGCACGAGUGUGGUAUAACAUCGUGCUUCGGGACUCCUGGGGCCCCUCUCUCAGUUGCAGCCCCCUCAACCUGCCUUUGAACAAUAAUCAGCAGAAAGAGGAGAAUGAAAGAGAAGAAAGAAUUUCUUCCAUACCUUUCAAAACUUCAAAGAAGUUGUUCCCAAUCUGUUUCUGAUGAUUCUUGUCUCAGUGCAAAGCAUGUAUAAAUAUCUGAAAUCUGCA